CUGCCGAGGCUCCCGGGCCUCGUCCACUGUCGCACGCGCACGGGGCCCGUGCGGGCCCGCGGACAGCGCGUGCACGGGCGCCGCGCCUCGCCGCAGCACAGCGAGGGCUCAGCGCGCGGCGGGUCCCACGCGUCGCUCACGCCCGCUGGGACCUCGUGCCACCCCGAACCCAAGCGGACGGGGGCCGUCGGGCGCUGGGCCGGGUUGGCGCGGAGACCUGGAGACUUGGGAAUCUCUGAAUAUACAGCACUGUCCUUCUGUGCUGGUCCCCACAUGUAGCCUGCAGUGGCCAGCUGGGUGCAUGGCUGGGCCAGGGGACCUGGAGGCGGCGGUCGACACGGAGCACGGGCAAGAAGGGUGGGGGCACGCUGCUUGGAGGGCCCAGACCUAGCCACGUCUCAGAAGCCACAUCUCACCAACUGCCCAAGAGGAGUGGGUGUCCCAGCCAUAAUCUCAUUUGGCCCUCACCCCAGGGCCUCAGAUGACCUGUCCAACAUCCCACAGAAAACUUCGAAGCCCCCCAGACUGAUGGGCCCUGACAACAUUGGUGCCUGGGGCUCAGACCCGAUCCUGCCAGUAAGGGGCUGAGGACCGCUGGGACUGUCUCUGAGCCCUCUCACCUCUGUCUGCCAGGUCAGGCCCCGUCCCCGUCCCCCCUGCACCCCCGCCAGGCCCCUCACUUCUCCCCACCCGUGGAGCAGCUGUGGCUCUAAGCCCUCAGCCCUUCUUUGGCAAGUAGCUUGGACCCUGGUUGGGGUCUAAGAGUUGGGUCCCGUCACUCCCUUGUGUCUGAGAGCUGGGUCCUGCGAUGGCGGUGUCAGCCGUACUCCUUGGGGGCUCGGGCCGCGGCUGGGAAGGUCCGUCAGCUGGGGCCAGGAGGGGCUGGGCUGGGAGCGAGGCAGGGGCUCCCCACCGGAACACGUGGACUGUGGGCCCACCCUCGCCCUUCUGCCCUGCAGGCACCUCAGCGCCUUUCCCUGACCUGCCCUCCCCUCUGCUCAUUUUCUCGUAAUCUGUCCUUGCCCGCUGGACAGACUGCAGGCCACAGGAUUGCGCCUUGGGCUGACCCCCAGCUUUGGAGGGGGGCCAUGUGGCUGGGUGCCUGUUCCUCCCUACGUGGCCAGAACGUACCCCUCUGUGCCCCGCUUGGCAAAGGUGAUGCUGCCCCCAGAGGGGACACUGGGCCACCAAACCCUGAGCCCUCCCUCCCCCCCAUCUCCGUCCUGCCAGGCAGACACGGCCACCGAAGGGGCUCUGAAGUCCCUCUGCGGCUGCCACGCUGGUGAGGCUGCCCUCCCACGCCCACUAAUCCCGGGCCUGCAACAUAGCUGUGGAGCCCGACACCCGCAGGUGGCCUCACAGGGCUGAGGCUGCCCCAGGGUCAGGAGGUGCCGGCAGAGGGCCGACAUCAGGGGCCAUGCAUCAGGGGCUGAGAGGCCACCGUGGUGUCCAGCUGAUGAGCUCUGCCCCCCUCGUGGUCGGGGGGUAUGGCUCGCUCUCACCUCACCCCUCUCCCAGGAGAGCGGGAACAGAAUCUCGUCUGCUGCAGCGGCCGCUGUAACGCAGGCUUUCUAGAAGACCGGAC